rnacentral:rRNA from 1 species
AUUGAACGCUGGCGGCAUGCCUUACACAUGCAGGUCGAACGGCAGCACGGGUGCUUGCACCUGGUGGCGAGUGGCGAACGGGUGAGUAAUACAUCGGAACAUGUCCUGUAGUGGGGGAUAGCCCGGCGAAAGCCGGAUUAAUACCGCAUACGAUCUACGGAUGAAAGCGGGGGACCUUCGGGCCUCGCGCUAUAGGGUUGGCCGAUGGCUGAUUAGCUAGUUGGUGGGGUAAAGGCCCACCAAGGCGACGAUCAGUAGCUGGUCUGAGAGGACGACCAGCCACACUGGGACUGAGACACGGCCCAGACUCCUACGGGAGGCAGCAGUGGGGAAUUUUGGACAAUGGGCGAAAGCCUGAUCCAGCAAUGCCGCGUGUGUGAAGAAGGCCUUCGGGUUGUAAAGCACUUUUGUCCGGAAAGAAAUCCUUGGCCCUAAUACGGUCGGGGGAUGACGGUACCGGAAGAAUAAGCACCGGCUAACUACGUG